AUGGCCUCCACCUUCCUCCCGCUCCUCCUCCUCCUCGCCGCCCUCCCAGGGCUGCGGGCGGCCGUGACCCUGGUGGAGUCCGGGGGUGACCUCAAGGCCCCGGGGGAGUCCCUGCGGCUCCUCUGCCGCGCCUCCGGCUUCACCUUCAGCAACCACGACAUGCAGUGGGUGCGCCAGAGCCCCGGGAAGGGGCUGGAAUGGGUCGCUGGGAUCUACAAUGAUGGUUCCAGCACCUACUACGCGCCGUCGGUGCAGGGCCGGUUCAGCAUCCCCAGGGACAACGGGCAGAGCUCGGUGACGCUGCAGAUGAACAACCUCAGGGACGAGGAUUCCGACACCUAUUUCUGCGCCAAAGGUGCUGGUGCUGGUGGUGCUGCUGAAGGUAUCGACGCCUUUGGCAGGGUCCCCACCUGUCCCCAAACCCCAGACCCUCAACCCCAAACCUCCAUGCUUUGGACCCAAAUCUCAACCGUUGAUCCCAAAUUUUGA